rnacentral:rRNA from 1 species
UGAUCUAGAGUNUCGGAGAGGAAAGUGGAAUUCCUAGUGUAGCGGUGAAAUGCGUAGAUAUUAGGAAGAACACCAGUGGCGAAGGCGACUUUCUGGACGAAAACUGACGCUGAGGCGCGAAAGCCAGGGGAGCGAACGGGAUUAGAUACCCCGGUAGUCCUGGCCGUAAACGAUGGGUACUAGGUGUAGGAGGUAUCGACCCCUUCUGUGCCGGAGUUAACGCAAUAAGUACCCCGCCUGGGGAGUACGACCGCAAGGUUGAAACUCAAAGGAAUUGACGGGGGCCCGCACAAGCGGUGGAGUAUGUGGUUUAAUUCGACGCAACGCGAAGAACCUUACCAGGUCUUGACAUUGAUGGACAGAACCAGAGAUGGUUCCUCUUCUUCGGAAGCCAGAAAACAGGUGGUGCACGGUUGUCGUCAGCUCGUGUCGUGAGAUGUUGGGUUANNNNNNNNNNNNGAGCGCAACCCCUAUCUUAUGUUGCCAGCACUUUGGGUGGGGACUCAUGAGAGACUGCCGCAGACAAUGCGGAGGAAGGCGGGGAUGACGUCAAAUCAUCAUGCCCCUUAUGACCUGGGCUACACACGUACUACAAUGGGAGUUAAUAGACGGAAGCGAGAUCGCGAGAUGGAGCAAACCCGAGAAACACUCUCUCAGUUCGGAUCGUAGGCUGCAACUCGCCUACGUGAAGUCGGAAUCGCUAGUAAUCGCAGGUCAGCAUACUGCGGUGAAUACGUUCCCGGGCCU